rnacentral:rRNA from 1 species
GCACAAGCGGUGGAUGAUGUGGAUUAAUUCGAUGCAACGCGAAAAACCUUACCUACCCUUGACAUGCCAGGAACCCUGCUGAGAGUGGGGUGCUCGAAAGAGAGCCUGGACACAGGUGCUGCAUGGCUGUCGUCAGCUCGUGUCGUGAGAUGUUGGGUUAAGUCCCGCAACGAGCGCAACCCUUGUCAUUAGUUGCCAUCAUUCAGUUGGGCACUCUAAUGAGACUGCCGGUGACAAACCGGAGGAAGGUGGGGAUGACGUCAAGUCCUCAUGGCCCUUAUAGGUGGGGCUACACACGUCAUACAAUGGCCGGUACAGAGGGUAGCCAACCCGCGAGGGGGAGCCAAUCCCACAAAGCCGGUCGUAGUCCGGAUCGCAGUCUGCAACUCGACUGCGUGAAGUCGGAAUCGCUAGUAAUCGCGGAUCAGCAUGUCGCGGUGAAUACGUUCCCGGGUCUU